CGGACGGGUGAGUAACGCGUGGAGAACCUGCCGUAUACUGGGGGAUAACACUUAGAAAUAGGUGCUAAUACCGCAUAAGCGCACAGCUUCGCAUGAAACAGUGUGAAAAACUCCGGUGGUAUACGAUGGAUCCGCGUCUGAUUAGCUGGUUGGCGGGGUAACAGCCCACCAAGGCGACGAUCAGUAGCCGGCCUGAGAGGGUGAACGGCCACAUUGGGACUGAGACACGGCCCAAACUCCUACGGAAGGCAGCAG
rnacentral:rRNA from 1 species